AUUGAACGCUGGCGGCAGGCCUAACACAUGCAAGUCGAACGGUAACAGGAAGCAGCUUGCUGCUUUGCUGACGAGUGGCGGACGGGUGAGUAAUGUCUGGGAAACAGCCCGAUGGAGGGGGAUAACUACUGGAAACGGUAGCUAAUACCGCAUAACGUCGCAAGACCAAAGAGGGGGACCUUAGGGCCUCUUGCCAUCGGAUGUGCCCAGAUGGGAUUAGCUAGUAGGUGGGGUAACGGCUCACCUAGGCGACGAUCCCUAGCUGGUCUGAGAGGAUGACCAGCCACACUGGAACUGAGACACGGUCCAGACUCCUACGGGAGGCAGCAGUGGGGAAUAUUGCACAAUGGGCGCAAGCCUGAUGCGGCCAUGCCGCGUGUAUGAAGAAGGCCUUCGGGUUGUAAAGUACUUUCAGCGGGGAGGAAGGGAGUAAAGUUAAUACCUUUGCUCAUUGACGUUACCCGCAGAAGAAGCACCGGCUAACUCCGUG
rnacentral:rRNA from 1 species